rfam:Pleurotus ostreatus PC15 unplaced genomic scaffold scaffold_06, whole genome shotgun sequence.
GGCCUGAUGGUCUAGUAGUAUGAUUCCUUGUUAGGGUUCCACCAUUAUCGAGGAGGUCCCGGGUUCAAUUCCCGGUCAGGCCC